GAUGAACGCUGGCGGCGUGCCUAAUACAUGCAAGUCGAGCGAAGCGGGGACGGGUGAGGAACACGUGUCUAACCGCCGAUAAGACUGGGGUCAGUUCGGGAACCCUGAGAUAAAUCGGAUCCUUAGAGAUGGAUCCGCGCUGCAUUAGCUAGUGGGUAGGGUAACGGCGUACCAAGGCAACGAUGAAUAGCUGACCUGAGAGGGUGAUCGGCCACACUGGAACUGAGACACGGUCCAGACUCCUACGGGAGGCAGCAGUAGGGAAUCUUACGCAAUGGGCGAAAGCCUGACGGAGCAACGCCGCGUGAGUGAUGAAGGUCUUCGGAUCGUAAAGCUCUUUUAGUAGGGAAGCGGUACCUAAUCAGAAAGCCACGGCUAACUACGUGCCAGCCGCCGCGGUAAUUC
rnacentral:rRNA from 1 species